rnacentral:rRNA from 1 species
ACGAACGCUGGCGGCGUGCCUAAUACAUGCAAGUCGAGCGGACUUAAAAAGCUUGCUUUUUACGUUAGCGGCGGACGGGUGAGUAACACGUGGGCAACCUGCCUGUAAGACUGGGAUAACUUCGGGAAACCGGAGCUAAUACCGGAUAAUCCUUUUCUACUCAUGUAGAAAAGCUGAAAGACGGUUUACGCUGUCACUUACAGAUGGGCCCGCGGCGCAUUAGCUAGUUGGUGAGGUAACGGCUCACCAAGGCGACGAUGCGUAGCCGACCUGAGAGGGUGAUCGGCCACACUGGGACUGAGACACGGCCCAGACUCCUACGGGAGGCAGCAGUAGGGAAUCUUCCGCAAUGGACGAAAGUCUGACGGAGCAACGCCGCGUGAGUGAUGAAGGUUUUCGGAUCGUAAAACUCUGUUGUUAGGGAAGAACAAGUACGAGAGUAACUGCUCGUACCUUGACGGUACCUAACCAGAAAGCCACGGCUAACUACGUG